UACGUAGGUCUCGAGCGUUGUCCGGAUUUAUUGGGCGUAAAGCGAGCGCAGGUGGUUUAUUAAGUCUGGUGUAAAAGGCAGUGGCUCAACCAUUGUAUGCAUUGGAAACUGGUAGACUUGAGUGCAGGAGAGGAGAGUGGUAUUCCAUGUGUAGCGGUGAAAUGCGUAGAUAUAUGGAGGAACACCGGUGGCGAAAGCGGCUCUCUGGCCUGUAACUGACACUGAGGCUCGAAAGCGUGGGGAGCAAACAGG
rnacentral:rRNA from 1 species